GAUGAACGCUGGCGGCGUGCCUAAUACAUGCAAGUCGAGCGAACAGACGAGGAGCUUGCUCCUCUGACGUUAGCGGCGGACGGGUGAGUAACACGUGGAUAACCUACCUAUAAGACGGGGAUAACUUCGGGAAACCGGAGCUAAUACCGGAUAAUAUAUUGAACCGCAUGGUUCAAUAGUGAAAGACGGUUUUGCUGUCACUUAUAGAUGGAUCCGCGCCGCAUUAGCUAGUUGGUAAGGUAACGGCUUACCAAGGCAACGAUGCGUAGCCGACCUGAGAGGGUGAUCGGCCACACUGGAACUGAGACACGGUCCAGACUCCUACGGGAGGCAGCAGUAGGGAAUCUUCCGCAAUGGGCGAAAGCCUGACGGAGCAACGCCGCGUGAGUGAUGAAGGUCUUCGGAUCGUAAAACUCUGUUAUUAGGGAAGAACAAAUGUGUAAGUAACUAUGCACGUCUUGACGGUACCUAAUCAGAAAGCCACGGCUAACUACGU
rnacentral:rRNA from 1 species